AAACACAGCCAACUGCUACGUAAGUAGAGGAAAAUCCGCUCUAGCACAAUCUGCGAUGAUUGUAGUGUUCAUGCUAGAUCUAAUAAAUCUAGGCAGAGUGAUGAUCUGAUGACUAGUGCAACAGAGACGAGCUUAUUUAGUUAAGGUGCAACGAUGUAAACUCCAUGAGUUAGAAACCCAAAUUUUGGUAGGGGAACUAAACAAAGGGAAUUGAACUAAUGUUUAGAAAUGUAUUAUUACAUUUAGAUAAAUAGUUGGCGCUCAUUUUGAGUACAGAAAGCGGUUUAUCGUG
rnacentral:RNase_P_RNA from 1 species